CAGUCGCCGCGGGAAUACGAAGGGUGCAAGCGUUAAUCGGAAUUACUGGGCGUAAAGCGUGCGUAGGCGGUGAGUUAAGUCUGCUGUGAAAUCCCCGGGCUCAACCUGGGAAUGGCAGUGGAUACUGGCUCGCUAGAGUGUGUCAGAGGAUGGUGGAAUUCCCGGUGUAGCGGUGAAAUGCGUAGAGAUCGGGAGGAACAUCAGUGGCGAAGGCGGCCAUCUGGGACAACACUGACGCUGAGGCACGAAAGCGUGGGAAGCAAACAGGAUUAGAUACCCCUGUAGUCCCUGUCUCUUAUAC
rnacentral:rRNA from 1 species